rnacentral:rRNA from 1 species
GACGAACGCUGGCGGCGCGCCUAACACAUGCAAGUCGAACGAGCGAGAGAGAGCUUGCUUUCUCGAGCGAGUGGCGAACGGGUGAGUAACGCGUGAGGAACCUGCCUCAAAGAGGGGGACAACAGUUGGAAACGACUGCUAAUACCGCAUAAGCCCACAGCUCGGCAUCGAGCAGAGGGAAAAGGAGCAAUCCGCUUUGAGAUGGCCUCGCGUCCGAUUAGCUAGUUGGUGAGGUAACGGCCCACCAAGGCGACGAUCGGUAGCCGGACUGAGAGGUUGAACGGCCACAUUGGGACUGAGACACGGCCCAGACUCCUACGGGAGGCAGCAGUGGGGAGUAUUGCACAAUGGGGGAAACCCUGAUGCAGCGACGCCGCGUGGAGGAAGAAGGUCUUCGGAUUGUAAACUCCUGUUGUUGGGGAAGAUAAUGACGGUACCCAACAAGGAAGUGACGGCUAACUACGUGCCAGCAGCCGCGGUAAAACGUAGGUCACAAGCGUUGUCCGGAAUUACUGGGUGUAAAGGGAGCGCAGGCGGGAAGACAAGUUGGAAGUGAAAUCUAUGGGCUCAACCCAUAAACUGCUUUCAAAACUGUUUUUCUUGAGUAGUGCAGAGGUAGGCGGAAUUCCCGGUGUAGCGGUGGAGUGCGUAGAUAUCGGGAGGAACACCAGUGGCGAAGGCGGCCUACUGGGCACCAACUGACGCUGAGGCUCGAAAGUGUGGGUAGCAAACAGGAUUAGAUACCCUGGUAGUCCACACCGUAAACGAUGAUUACUAGGUGUUGGAGGAUUGACCCCUUCAGUGCCGCAGUUAACACAAUAAGUAAUCCACCUGGGGAGUACGACCGCAAGGUUGAAACUCAAAGGAAUUGACGGGGGCCCGCACAAGCAGUGGAGUAUGUGGUUUAAUUCGACGCAACGCGAAGAACCUUACCAAGUCUUGACAUCCCUUGACAGACAUAGAAAUAUGUAAUCUCUUCGGAGCAAGGAGACAGGUGGUGCAUGGUUGUCGUCAGCUCGUGUCGUGAGAUGUUGGGUUAAGUCCCGCAACGAGCGCAACCCUUAUGGUCAGUUACUACGCAAGAGGACUCUGGCCAGACUGCCGUUGACAAAACGGAGGAAGGUGGGGAUGACGUCAAAUCAUCAUGCCCUCUAUGACUUGGGCUACACACGUACUACAAUGGCGUUAAACAAAGAGAAGCAAGACCGCGAGGUGGAGCAAAACUCAGAAACAACGUCCCAGUUCGGACUGCAGGCUGCAACUCGCCUGCACGAAGUCGGAAUUGCUAGUAAUCGUGGAUCAGCAUGCCACGGUGAAUACGUUCCCGGGCCUUGCACU